CCACUGUGCGGACAGGUUGUGUGAAGGUAAAGCUUCUGAAAGGCUGGCGUAUGGGACCAACACGGGAUAGAUGAACAGAGGCGGUUGCUGUCUGUGUUGCGUUUUUUCUCUGAGUUGUAAAAGCAGGGAGAACAGAAACUGGCUACUCUUUAGUUGACUGAUCUAGCUGGCAAGGAUCAGAUGGUGACAGGUGUCCCUGCAGGGUCAGACAGUCAGGGAAGACCAGCCUACAAAGCUCAGGAUCAGAUGGUGACAGGGGUCUCACCAGGGUCAGACAGCCAGGGAAGACCAGUCAGUGAUGGAGAUGAGUUGAAUUUUUGCAGAUACAACACUUUAUUCUCUCUGUGCAGCAAACACUGGACAUGCAAAGAAGCUUCAAAGAUUGGAACUAUUUUAAGGCAGUCUGACAAAUAGAGGCUUUUCCCGAUGACACAAAGUAUGUUUAACAAAAAUGUGAAGAAGACCUGGGAGAAGCUAUUGAUGAUGAAUGGAUACAGAUAUGUUAGAAUACCCAGUCAUGUUCAUAUAAUCUCAGACAUGUAUUACUGCAUCUUUAAAACCAUCCAAAGAACGUACUAUAUGCCAGUAAAACUGAAUAUCAUGCACACAGAAAUGUAACUAUUCUGCUAGAGGUGUAAAACACAAAAGGGAACAUACAGAUUAUCCUGUCUCCCUGUUUUUGUUUGCUUAGUAAUGUUGAUACUGGAGACUGUUAUCAGAAGAAACCUAGCAUUUAUAAUGACUAAGGAAUGCAUUGCCAUUAAUUGGAAGGUUGGUUAUCCUCCCACAAUGGAUGGGAGAAAUGUCAAGUUAUGUGUCACUAGAUUUGAUUUAUUACAAGAUUAACGGUGUACUGUGCAACUUUCAUAAGGUUUUGAUGCUUUAUAUGGAAUACAGUACGACAAAAAGGAGUUUGUAUUGAAAAAAUGCCCACGUCAGGGUAGAUAACUAU